UUUCUUUCACAAAUUUUCUCAUUUUCAGAUGGUACAGGAGCUCGCUGAUGAGAAUGGCUGAAAGUCACAAACAACUGCAACAACAGAACAAGACAAAGACAAAUGAGCAAAUUGUGCUCAAAUUGUCUCUUCUGAGUUUUAUUUUUCAUUUUCAACAUACAUUACGCCGAGAAAGAAUGUUGCCUUUGGUGAUGGUCGAACAGACAAAAAUAAUCACAAGCAGUCCACACCAAAUAACAGUUUUAAUUCUUCCACCUUCAGACAGCAACAAACUGUAGGCAGCAUCUUAUCCAAACUGCUCAAAGCUGCUGACAAUUCUCAGAAUGGAAAUUAUCCUCAUAUUAUCUCUGAUCCAAAUCUGAAUAUCUACAUAAGGAGCCAUUCCCAUCCAUUGAUAAUGAUAUCAGCCUUCUUUCUUGGCCUAGCGAAAGUAUUUCUUGCAUCCUUUCUGGCCAAUCUGAAUUUAAUCUACGAGCAAAGUCCUCAACUUCCCUGUCAAGUUCCUCCUUCAUUGCAGGAUCUAAAUCAUCAUCAAUGUCAGCAUCAUCAAAAUCAAGCUUAGGUGAAAGUGCGGAAGAUCCAGAUUCUUGCAAUGUACUGGUAGAGGCAACCAAAUUAUCAUUAACCUCCCCAUUAUGGCAAGCAGAAGGGUAAGUGCUCAUCUCCUUCUUAUGGUUUUCAUUUAAAUUGUCUGAAG
rnacentral:misc_RNA from 1 species